rnacentral:tRNA from 1 species
GACUUCGUGGUGUAGUGGUCAGCACGCUCGGCGCGUAUUCGAGAGGUCCGUGGUUCGAGUCCCGGCGAAGGCG